rnacentral:tRNA from 1 species
GAAGGUAAAGCUCAGUGGCAGAGCGCAUGCUUAGCAUGCAUGAGGUCCUGGGUUCAAUCCCCAGUGCCUCCA